rnacentral:rRNA from 1 species
CAAGUCGUGCGAGAAAGUCACCUUCGGGUGGUGAGUAAAGCGGCGAACGGGUGAGUAACACGUAAGAAACCUGCCCCUAAAUCCGGAAUAACAUUGCUAACGCGGUGCUAAUACCGGAUGUGGUCUCCAGUUUGCAUGAACAGGAGAUUAAAGGUGACCUCUACUUGUAAGUUAUCGUUUAGGGAUGGUCUUGCGGACCAUUAGCUUGUUGGCGGGGUAACGGCCCACCAAGGCUGCGAUGGUUAGCCGGCUUAAGAGGGUGAUCGGCCACAUUGGGACUGAGAUACGGCCCAGACUCCUACGGGAGGCAGCAGUAGGGAAUUUUGCGCAAUGGACGAAAGUCUGACGCAGCAACGCCGCGUGAGCGAUGAAGGUUUUCGGAUUGUAAAGCUCUGUUGAGUGGGACGAAAACUCUCCGGGAUAAUACCCUGGAGACUUGACGGUACCACUCGAGGAAGCCCCGGCUAAAUACGUGCCAGCAGCCGCGGUAAUACGUAUGGGGCAAGCGUUGUUCGGAAUCACUGGGCGUAAAGGGAGUGUAGGCGGAAAGGUAAGUUAGAAGUGUAAUCCACGGGCUUAACCCGUUGACUCGCUUUUAAUACUGCUUUUCUUGAGUAUGGGAGAGGGAGAUGGAAUUCCAGGUGUAGCGGUGGAAUGCGUAGAUAUCUGGAAGAACACCAGUAGCGAAGGCGGUCUCCUGUGCCAAUACUGACGCUGAGGCUCGAAAGCGUGGGGAGCGAACAGGAUUAG